rnacentral:rRNA from 1 species
CCCUUAGAUGUUCUGGGCCGCACGCGCGCUACACUGAUGCAUUCAACGAGUCUAAAACCUGCUCUGAUAGGGGUGGGUAAUCUUUUGAAUGUGCAUCGUGAUUGGGAUAGAUGAUUGCAAUUUUUCAUCUUCAACGAGGAAUGCCUAGUAAACGCAAGUCAUCAGCUUGCAUUGAUUACGUCCCUGCCCUUUGAACACACCGCCCGUCGCUCCUACCGAUUGAAUGAUCCGAUGAAUAUCAUGGAUUGAGGAUGCAAGUAGGUUCGCCUAUCUUCAUCUUCGAGAAGUGAAGUAAAUCUUAUCAUUUAGAGGAAGGAGAAGUCGUAACA